GAUGAAGAACGUAGCGAAAUGCGAUAAGUAAUGUGAAUUGCAGAAUUCCGUGAAUCAUCGAAUCUUUGAACGCAUAUUGCGCCCUUUGGUAUUCCGAAGGGCAUGCCUGUUCGAGCGUCAUUAUCACCCCUCAAGCCCCGGCUUGGUGUUGGACUUAGUUACGGAUCACCAUAACUGGCCUCAAAGAUAGUGGCGGCGCCCCAGAGGGAACCGGUACGAGGAGCUUCCAGUUAAGCAUGUACGCGGGACGACUUUGCGGGCGACGGGUCUUUUUCAUUUCUCAAGUGUUGACCUCGGAUCAGGUAGGAAUACCCGCUGAACUUAAGCAUAUCAAUAAGCGGAGGA
rnacentral:misc_RNA from 1 species